ACGAACGCUGGCGGCAUGCCUAACACAUGCAAGUCGAACGAGACCUUCGGGUCUAGUGGCGCACGGGUGCGUAACGCGUGGGAAUCUGCCCUUCGGUUGGGAAUAACUGAGAGAAAUUUCAGCUAAUACCUUAUAAUGUCUUCGGACCAAAGAUUUAUCGCCGAGGGAUGAGCCCGCGUAGGAUUAGGUAGUUGGUGGGGUAAUGGCCUACCAAGCCGACGAUCCUUAGCUGGUCUGAGAGGAUGAUCAGCCACACUGGGACUGAGACACGGCCCAGACUCCUACGGGAGGCAGCAGUGGGGAAUAUUGGACAAUGGGCGAAAGCCUGAUCCAGCAAUGCCGCGUGAGUGAUGAAGGCCUUAGGGUUGUAAAGCUCUUUUACCCGGGAUGAUAAUGACAGUACCGGGAGAAUAAGCACCGGCUAACUCCGUG
rnacentral:rRNA from 1 species